rnacentral:lncRNA from 1 species
AUCAAGAUCCACGUCUGGCUGCUGACUCCCGUCAUCACCAGAGCUACUUGGCUGUGGGCAUUUGCUCUUCAAGUAAUCAGCAUAUGAGGGGUCCAAGGAAGGGUCUUGUGCAUGAGUUGUAUUGAAGGAAUAUAGCCUACCAACAAAGGUAGGGCAAUGAGCUAUUCCUAUGGAAUGGGCUCCGGAAAGAGUCACCAUCUCCUCCACUGACAGCCCUCGUUUUCCGAACUCACUAGCCAGCCUCUCGGCAUGGAAAGUAAAACCAGGAAGAGCGUUAGCAUCUUCCUUUCUUGAGAUGAAUCCAUCACGACGGCCUGCUGGUACGGCAUAGUUAAUACCUGGUACAUAUAUGAUAAGAUAAGAUUUAAAUGUAUUGUAAUGUAUCAGAUUUCCAAAAAAAACUAUUGUAAUGUAUCAGAGUUUAAGCUUUUGAGUUUAAUCAGUUAGGGAUAAUUAACAGUACCUCCAACUUUGUUGGCGCUAUCGCGGGCAGCGAAGGCAAGAACGUCGGCACAUGACACAGUGUUGGGACAAACAGCUUCAAUUUUCGCCUUGGCUUCAUCAAUAACCUCAAAACCUCGUAAGGUUGGAAAGUUUGCAACAUGAUAUUUCUCAGAUGGAUUUCCAGGAGUCGAUUCUAGAAGCACAGAAGCAUCACAUCCCUGAAAAAUUACGAAACAAAAGAGAGACAUAGAAGUCAAUUUUUUAUUUUCCUAAAUAAUAUUUGGGUGGGUUCAAAAAGUACAAAGAUGGAUAUCUAAAUUCAAGUUUUUUUUUUUUUUUUUUUUUUUGACAAAUAACGCAUUUGUGUUAUAUUGAAAGUGAGGUUAAAUUACAAAAAUUCGGUCCUUAUAGAACGAAUUUUUCAUGUAAUUAUGAAAGUUAAUAUUCAUUUUUUGUCAAAUAGUAUCGUUAUAAUUUAUAAGGUUUUAUUAAACGGAAAAACUUUGAAUGAAACGUACCCUAACAAAGCAGUCGUGGAAGUGCAUUCUAAUGAGACCUGCAGCGAUGCCGGGGUUUCUAGAGACGGCUUUGUCUACUGCAUCUUCAACAAUGGCCUCAGCAUCCGGACAAGAUGAACUAUAGAAACCUACUCUCAGGCUUGUAGAAGCAAAAGUAGAUAGGGAAAAGAAGAAGAUGAUGCAUAGGAGCUUGGAGAAAAGUGCUUGGAAUAACUUAUGGGAAGAAGAAGAAUUAGCCAUUGUAAAGAAGAGCCAAAUAAGAAGGAUGUUCUUAGGCAAUGAUGUUUUUUAUUUGUUUGGUAAUUUUGAUGAAGAAAUUAGGUGUGUUUAUGAUGCAUAUUUAUAGCAUGAGGAUACGUUGUGUUGAAAAAUGAUGAUGAAAUCAAAAAGGUGGCUAAAGUAAUAUGAAGUUGUCUAAGUUUGAAAUUUUAUAUAUUAUUUGUCAUCUACGUAUUUAAAAAUAAUUAUAAAAAUAUAUAAUAAAUGGAAGGGGGAAUUUAUAUAUAGAGAGGGAAUUAUUGACUUAUAAGGAAAAACAAAACCCUAGUGGGGAAUUUUAAAAUAAGUUUACUUAGCAAAAAAUGGAUUGCUUGAGGCUGCUUUGAACCAAGAAUUAGAGUAUACAUUGUAUAUAGAGACAUUGAAAAUAUAUAUUUGCAUGACCAAAUAUUUAUAAAAUGACAUCUCCUUUCCUAUCUCUUUCUCAAGGUUAUUAAUUAAUAUGAUUUGUAGUUAAUUAGAACAUAAUUAGAUGUACGAGAGAAUAAUGAUAGAAUAAUAUUAAAAUAUACAAACAAAUUUUCAAUAUUUUCGUUAUUAAAGGGAAGAUCAACAAAAUUUUAACCGCAUAUCAAACUCAUCUUUGAACUAAUAAUAUAUAUUAUUAUUAUUAUAAUAUAGGAUUUGUUUUCCAAUAUAGCAAAUUAUAUUGAAUAAAAGUAGUUAGGAAGUUUAGCAAAAUUUUAUAUUCUAUCCAUGAUUGAGUACACCAGUAAACUUCAUAUCAUCCGUGUCUAAUUUUUUUAUUUGAAGUAGUCUUCUUUAUUAUUAUCUAUGAUUUUUUAUAAAAAAAAUUAUUCAUUCUGAAAUAGUCAAAUAAUGUUGAAAUUUGGUUAGUUAAAAAACGUGGAAAAAGAGAACAUUAAUGCAUAUUAAUAAAAUAAUGUGUAUUACUGAAUUUCUAACAACCAAAGUAAUAAAGAAGAUUCAUCGCUCACACACAAUCGCUCAUCUAACAGCCACGAUCGCUCACAGCUCACCAACAUUUAGCAGCCAUGAAAUGAUCUAUAUCAGGGGAGGAAACAAUAAAUCAGAGUUUCCAUCAAUUCUAGUGAUUAAUCAAGAAAUGAAAUCCCUUAGAUCAAGAAUAUUUGAGUUACAAUCACCAAAAGUAUUCCUCAUUCGUUAUGUAUCUACUAGAAGACGGGUACUUAUAGACACAACUUAACAUUUGUCAGUCUUGUUUUUGUUGCUGUUAUGAAUUCAUGGUAUAAUAUAAAAGAGUAAUUAUUAUAGGUUUCAAUUUUAAGAGUAAUAAUUAAGUAUAUAGAACAUUCAUCAUAAUAUGUAUUCAUAACCAUUCAUUCAUGAUGCACUUAGACUUCCAUGAGUUCAUUCAUCCACCUAUACUUAUAUAAUCAUAAUAUGUAUUUUUCAAAAUUUAAGUAAUAAUCUCUCCUUACACAGAUUAAAUUGUUCUUUAGUUAAAAGUUAAUUCAAACUCAAUAGAAAUUGUAUACAUAAGUCAAACUUCUCUUAAUAAAAAAAAGUGAAACUCUCCUAUCAAACACCGAGGAUUCCAUCCUUGAAAACUAAAAUAAAAUUAAAAUUGUUAAUUCUCUCAUUGUUAGUUGAUUUAUGAUGGAACUCAUGUUAUAAGCUAAUAUAAUUUAUAUGUUGAUGGAGUCUAAAAAGACGAAAAAUUUCAUCUCAAAGGACAUUUAAAUAUUCAUUCUUUCAUUAUUUAGAAUAUAUGAACUGGAUCAUUUUUUUUUUUUUUUUGAAUCAACAAAUAUGUUGGAGGCUCUAAACAAAAUUGAAUGAAACCAAGACUACAAUAAUGAUAUAUGAUAUGAUCAAUCCAACUCAAGUACUAAUACUACUUCAAAGUAGAGAUUUCAUUUCAUGGAAUACUCAACAAUAAAGAUCUGACACACCCCACCAAGAAUAUCCCCUCACCAUAUAAUAUCCCCUUUCUUAUUUUCUUCUCUCUCAACACCUAUGAUCAACCUCUUCUCGUUGUUGGAUUUGGAUAUGAUUUUUCACUGUUCAAUUGGGUGAAGAAAUUAAAAUAUAGACAUAAACAAUAGAGAAUUAAUAGAAGAUUACAAUUUUUGCAUGGUUAAACAUAAUAGUGUGUAUUGACUGCAUUUACGUUUACCGAGUAGAAUAUCAAAUUGCAAAUUCAAAUGUAUUUUAGAUAAUUCAUAGAGAGACUAAUUUUUAACCUUCAGUAGAAAUUAUAAAUAACACAAAUAUAAUAAUACAACUUAAGUUAAAGUUUAAGAUAUGUUGUAGACUUUAGGAGAACAAAUAUUGAAGACAUUAUAUAUUCAAACAAAUUGACAUUAGAUAUCAUUAAUUAGGAAAGGAAAAUUAGAAAGAGCUUCAUAUAUGAUAACAAAAAAAUUCCAACAAUGCAUAAUUAAAGAGUGAAAAGUAUACACACUUAUUGAGUUAAAAGAUGAAAAAAAAAAAUCAAUAAAUUUGAACAAAACAAUAACACUUUAACAUGCAUGUAUAAAACACACACACCAAAGUUCUUCUUUCCUUGCAGAUUAAACAUGUGAUCCCCAGAGAAAGCUUCGAAAUCAAUUCACAAAGCUGCAUUGGCGUCUGAUCUCUCCCUUGGAUCCUGUGAGGACAUCAAUUUUGCCCAUUUUAACCAUUGCCUUCCCAAACUUGGUUGCCCAUUUGGACCCAUGAUGGGCAUUUCUCAACACCAUUUUUGAAGUCAAUGAACUGCUCAACAAUGUUUGAUCGGAGAUCAGCAGCCCACGGUGGUUCUUUAGCUCGAUGUAGUAACGGUUAUCCAAACGAUGCGGGGUUGAAAAAUCAAGAUCCACGUCUGGCUGCUGACUCCCGUCAUCACCAGAGCUACUUGGCUGUGGGCAUUUGCUCUUCAAGUAAUCAGCAUAUGAGGGGUCCAAGGAAGGGUCUUGUGCAUGAGUUGUAUUGAAGGAAUAUAGCCUGCCAACAAAGGUAGGGCAAUGAGCUAUUCCUAUGGAAUGGGCUCCGGAAAGAGUCACCAUCUCCCCCACUGACAGCCCUCGUUUUCCGAACUCACUAGCCAGCCUCUCGGCAUGGAAAGUAAAACCAGGAAGAGCGUUAGCAUCUUCCUUUCUUGAGAUGAAUCCAUCACGACGGCCUGCUGGUACGGCAUAGUUAAUACCUGGUACAUAUAUGAUAAGAUAAGAUUUAAAUGUAUUGUAAUGUAUCAGAUUUCCAAAAAAACUAUUGUAAUGUAUCAGAGUUUAAGCUUUUGAGUUUAAUCAGUUAGGGAUAAUUAACAGUACCUCCAACUUUGUUGGCGCUAUCGCGGGCAGCGAAGGCAAGAACGUCGGCACAUGACACAGUGUUGGGACAAACAGCUUCAAUUUUCGCCUUGGCUUCAUCAAUAACCUCAAAACCUCGUAAGGUUGGAAAGUUUGCAACAUGAUAUUUCUCAGAUGGAUUUCCAGGAGUCGAUUCUAGAAGCACAGAAGCAUCACAUCCCUGAAAAAUUACGAAACAAAAGAGAGACAUAGAAGUCAAUUUUUUAUUUUCCUAAAUAAUAUUUGGGUGGGCUCAAAAAGUACAAAGAUGGAUAUCUAAAUUCAAGUUUUUUUUUUUUUUUUUUUUGACAAAUAACGCAUCUGUGUCAUAUUAAAAGUGAGGUUAAAUUACAAAAAUUUGGUCCUUACCGAACGAAUUUUUCAUGUAAUUAUGAAAGUUAAUAUUCAUUUUUGUCAAAUAGUAUCAUUAUAAUUUAUAAGGUUUUAUUAAACGGAAAAACUUUGAAUGAAACGUACCCUAACAAAACAGUCGUGGAAGUGCAUUCUAAUGAGACCUGCAGCAAUGCCGGGGUUUCUAGAGACGGCUUUGUCUACUGCAUCUUCAACAAUGGUCUCAGCAUCCGGACAAGAUGAACUAUAGAAACCUACUCUGAGGCUUGUAGAAGCAAAAGUAGAUAGGGAAAAGAAGAAGAAGAUGCAUAGGAGCUUGGAGAAAAGUGCUUGGAAUAACUUAUGGGACGAAGAAGAAUUAGCCAUUGUAAAGAAGAGCCAAAUAAGAAGGAUGUUUUUAGGCAAUGAUGUUAUUGAUUUGUUUGGUAAUUUUGAUGAAGAAAUUAGGUGUGUUUAUGAUGCAUAUUUAUAGCAUGAGGAUAUGUUGUGUUGAAAAAUGAUGAUGAAAUCAAAAAGGUGGCUAAAGUUACAUGAAGUUGUCUAAGUUUGAAAUUUUAUAUAUUAUUUGUCAUCUACGUAUUUAAAAAUAAUUAUAAAAAUAUAUAAUAAAUGGAAGGGGGAAUUUAUAUAUAGAGAGAGAAUUAUUGACUUAUAAGGAAAAACAAAACCCUAGUGGGGAAUUUUAAAAUAAGUUUACUUAGCAAAAAAUGGAUUGCUUGAGGCUGCUUUGAACCAAGAAUUAGAGUACAUUGUAUAUAGAGACAUUAAUAAUAUAUAUUUGCAUGACCAAAUAUAUGUAAAAUAACAUCUCCUUUCGUAUCUCUUUCCUAACAGAGAUUAUUAAUUAAUAUGACUCACGCUUAAUUAGAAUAUAAGUAGAUGUAUAAGAGAAUGAUAGAAGAAUAUUAAAAUAUACAAACAAAUUUUCAAUAUUUUGUUAUUAAGGGAAAGAUUACAUGUUUUAACCACAAAAUUUCAAUCCCAUACCAAAUUCAUCUUCGGAACUAAACCAGUAGAUUGGUUAUUAUUAUUGUGUAGGGUUAGUUUUCAAAUAUAAAAACUUGAAUAAAAUUAGUUACAAAAUAUAGUAAAAUUUCAUAUUCUAUUAAUGAUUGACACGAUAAACUUCCUAUAAUUGGUGUCUAAUUUUUCCAUUUGAAAUAGUCUUUUAAUUGUUUUUUAUGUUUUUUUCUAUAAAAAAAAUUAUUCAUUUUGAAAUAGUCUAAUGUUGAAAUUUGGUUAGUUAAAAAACGUGGGAAAAGAGAUUAUUAAUGCAUAUUAAUAAAAUAAUGUGUAUUACAAAGUUUCAACAACCAAAGUAAUAAAUUAGAAGAUCCAUCGCUAACACACAAUCGCUCAUCUACCAGCCACGAUCGUUCAUAGCUCACCAACAUGUAGCAGCCACGAAAUCUAUAUCAGAGAAGCAGGAAACAAAGCAGUCCAUCAAUUCUGCUGAUUAAUCAAGAAAUCAAAUCCCUUGAAUCAAGAAGAUUUGAGUUACCCAUCACCAAAAAAUCUUCCUCAUUAUUUUCCUUUCGUUAUGUAUGUAUCUACUGGAAGAGAGUGGUACUUAUAUACAACUUAACAUUUGUGAGUCUUGUUUUUGCUGUCAUGUUCUUAUGAAUUCACUGUAUAAUAAAAUAUAUAACAAAACUUAUAAGUAAUAGACAUGUAUUACUGGUAGACUCUUAUGAUCUAUUAGUGAUAGAUCAAUUAUAUUUGCAACAUGGUCUAUCAACGAUAGAACUCAUGUUAAUCUAAUAUAGUUUAUAAGCUGAUGAAGUCUAAAAAGAUGAAAAUUGGAAUGUAUGAUUCAAGAAUGGUGAAAUGAAAUAAGUGCAUCUUAAACAACAUCUUAAAGAUCCACGUCAGAAAAAUCGAAUGACCUAAAUUAUUUUUUUAUUUUAGAGUAUAUGAACUCGACCUUUUUUUCGAGUCAACAAAUACAUUGGCUCUAAACAAAAUUUGAUAACUAUAGUGGAGAAGCUCGAGUGAGCCAACGUAUCUCUUUCUAGAAAAAAAAAACAAAAUUUGAUGAAGCCAACCCUACCAUAAUAAUGAUAUUUUGAUAUGAAUCCAACUCAAGCACUAAUACCCCUUGAAAGUAAAAGAUUUCAUUUCAUGGAAUACUCAGAAAAUAAAGAUCUUACACACUCCACCAAGAAUAUCCCUCUCAAUUGUGGUCGUUGCUGGAUUUGGAUAUGAUUUUUUCACUAUUCAAUUAAUUUAAGAAAUUUACAAUCAAACAUAAACGAAAAAAUAAACAUAAACAAUAAAGAAUUAUCAAAUGAUUAUAAUUUGCAUGAAUCACGUAAUACUGUAUUGACUGUAUUUAUACGUUUACUUAGUAGAAUAUCAAAUUGUAAAUUCAAAUGUAUUUUAGAUAAUUGAUAGAGUAGACUUGAUAGUGCUACAGAGGUGUUCACUUAGUGAAGAUGACCUACUACAUUUACUGAUUCAUUCGUACCUUUCUUUUUUUAAAAAAAUUGAUAGAGUAGACUAACAUUUAACCUUAAGCCGAAAUCAUAUAUAACGCAAAUAUAAGAACACAACUUUAAGUUAAAUUAAAGUUUAAGACAUGUUGUAAAACUUUACGAGAACAAAUAGAGAACAAAUAUUGAAGGCAUCAUGUAUUCAAAUAAAUUAAAAUAUCAUUCAUUAGAAAAGGAAUUACAAAGAGCUUCAUAUAUGACAACAAAAAAAUUCCAACAAUGCAUAAAUAAAGAGAGAAAGUAUACACACUUAUUGUCUUAAACGAUGAAAAGAAAUCAACAAAUUUGCACAAAACAAUAACAUUUUAACAUAUAUAAAACACACACACCAAAGUUCUUCUUUCCUUGCAGAUUAAACAUGUGAUCACCAAAGAAAGCUUCGAAAUCAAUUCACAAAGCUGCAUUGGCGUCUGAUCUCUCCCUUGGAUCCUGUAAGGACAUCAAUUUUGCCCAUUUUAACCAUUGCCUUCCCAAACUUGGUUGCCCAUUUGGACCCAUAAUGGGCAUUUCUCAACACCAUUUUUGAAGUCAAUGAACUGCUCAACAAUGUCUGAUCGGAGAUCAGCAGCCCACGGUGGUUCUUUAGCUCGAUGUAGUAACGGUUAUCCAAACGAUGCGGGGUUGAAAAAUCAAGAUCCACGUCUGGCUGCUGACUCCCGUCAUCACCAGAGCUACUUGGCUGUGGGCAUUUGCUCUUCAAGUAAUCAGCAUAUGAGGGGUCCAAGGAAGGGUCUUGUGCAUGAGUUGUAUUGAAGGAAUAUAGCCUGCCAACAAAGGUAGGGCAAUGAGCUAUUCCUAUGGAAUGGGCACCGGAAAGAGUCACCAUCUCCUCCACUGACAACCCUCGUUUUCCGAACUCACUAGCCAGCCUCUCGGCAUGGAAAGUAAAACCAGGGAGAGCGUUAGCAUCUUCC